CCUACGGGAGGCAGCAGUGAGGAAUAUUGGUCAAUGGGCGCGAGCCUGGACCAGCCAAGUCGCGUGAGGGAUGACGGCCCUACGGGUUGUAAACCUCUUUUGUCGGGGAGCAAAUUCCGUUACGUGUAACGGAGUCGAGAGUACCCGAAGAAAAAGCAUCGGCUAACUCCGUGCCAGCAGCCGCGGUAAUACGGAGGAUGCGAGCGUUAUCCGGAUUUAUUGGGUUUAAAGGGUGCGUAGGCGGUAUUUUAAGUUAGUGGUAAAACGUCGGGGCCUC
rnacentral:rRNA from 1 species